AACGAACGCUGGCGGCAUGCCUAACACAUGCAAGUCGAACGAGACCUUCGGGUCUAGUGGCGCACGGGUGCGUAACGCGUGGGAAUCUACCCUCAGGUUCGGAAUAACUCAGAGAAAUUUGAGCUAAUACCGGAUGAUGACGUAAGUCCAAAGAUUUAUCGCCUGAGGAUGAGCCCGCGUAGGAUUAGGUAGUUGGUGAGGUAAAGGCUCACCAAGCCGACGAUCCUUAGCUGGUCUGAGAGGAUGAUCAGCCACACUGGGACUGAGACACGGCCCAGACUCCUACGGGAAGCAGCAGUGGGGAAUAUUGGACAAUGGGCGAAAGCCUGAUCCAGCAAUGCCGCGUGAGUGAUGAAGGCCUUAGGGUUGUAAAGCUCUUUUGCCCGGGAUGAUAAUGACAGUACCGGGAGAAUAAGCUCCGGCUAACUCCGUG
rnacentral:rRNA from 1 species